rnacentral:rRNA from 1 species
AUGCACGCUGGCGGCGUGCCUAAUACCUGCCAGUCGAGCGAACAGAUGAGGAGCUUGCUCCUCUGACGCUAGCGGCGGACGGGUGAGUAACACGUGGAUAACCUACCUAUAAGACUGGGAUAACUUCGGGAAACCGGAGCUAAUACCGGAUAAUAUAUUGAACCGCAUGGUUCAAUAGUGAAAGACGGUUUUGCUGUCACUUAUAGAUGGAUCCGCGCCGCAUUAGCUAGUUGGUAAGGUAACGGCUUACCAAGGCAACGAUGCGUAGCCGACCUGAGAGGGUGAUCGGCCACACUGGAACUGAGACACGGUCCAGACUCCUACGGGAGGCAGCAGUAGGGAAUCUUCCGCAAUGGGCGAGAGCCUGACGGAGCAACGCCGCGUGAGUGAUGAAGGUCUUCGGAUCGUAAAACUCUGUUAUUAGGGAAGAACAAAUGUGUAAGUAACUAUGCACGUCUUGACGGUACCUAAUCAGAAAGCCACGGCUAACUACGUG